rnacentral:rRNA from 1 species
AAAAGUUUUUUUUUUUUUCUGCUCAGGACGAACGCUGGCGGCGUGCUAAUACAUGCAAGUCGAGCGAGCAGAACCAGCAGAUUUACUUCGGUAAUGACGCUGGGGACGCGAGCGGCGGAUGGGUGAGUAACACGUGGGGAACCUGCCCCAUAGUCUGGGAUACCACUUGGAAACAGGUGCUAAUACCGGAUAAUAAAGCAGAUCGCAUGAUCAGCUUAUAAAAGGCGGCGUAAGCUGUCGCUAUGGGAUGGCCCCGCGGUGCAUUAGCUAGUUGGUAAGGUAACGGCUUACCAAGGCAAUGAUGCAUAGCCGAGUUGAGAGACUGAACGGCCACAUUGGGACUGAGACACGGCCCAAACUCCUACGGGAGGCAGCAGUAGGGAAUCUUCCACAAUGGACGCAAGUCUGAUGGAGCAACGCCGCGUGAGUGAAGAAGGUUUUCGGAUCGUAAAGCUCUGUUGUUGGUGAAGAAGGAUAGAGGUAGUAACUGGCCUUUAUUUGACGGUAAUCAACCAGAAAGUCACGGCUAACUACGUGCCAGCAGCCGCGGUAAUACGUAGGUGGCAAGCGUUGUCCGGAUUUAUUGGGCGUAAAGCGAGCGCAGGCGGAAGAAUAAGUCUGAUGUGAAAGCCCUCGGCUUAACCGAGGAAUUGCAUCGGAAACUGUUUUUCUUGAGUGCAGAAGAGGAGAGUGGAACUCCAUGUGUAGCGGUGGAAUGCGUAGAUAUAUGGAAGAACACCAGUGGCGAAGGCGGCUCUCUGGUCUGCAACUGACGCUGAGGCUCGAAAGCAUGGGUAGCGAACAGGAUUAGAUACCCUGGUAGUCCAUGCCGUAAACGAUGAGUGCUAAGUGUUGGGAGGUUUCCGCCUCUCAGUGCUGCAGCUAACGCAUUAAGCACUCCCGGCCUG